ACCUACUAUUUCAAGGAAGGGACAUUUUAGUAGGUACGGCUAAAACUAGGCUAACAAAUGAGCUUGUAAUGAUAUUCCGACUCAACCCCCUCUGCUAUCAAAUAAAACACGUCACAUUUCCUUGGUUGGGUCAAAGCUGAACUUAAGACAGCUGGGACAUCGGAGCAUAACAGUUUAUUGGGUCUUGCCUUAAUUUUCUCCCUUUGACACAGAUUCUUCUGUCGAAUGCUGCGGCAAACUUGACAUUAGCUGUCUUACAGGAUAAUACUACCAAAACUACCUACUUACAACAAAUAUUCGUUUUAAAGCUAUUGCCAGAGUAGCCUAUGUAGACAUCUUAUGUACAUGGCAGUUCACUACAGCUAGUCAGGCUAGUAAAAUUUCACUGAUCAUCUGCAGUAGGCUAGCGGCAGAACGCUUGUGAUCUAUAAAUUACGUUUGCACAUAAAGCAAACCAAAAGCCCAACGACGCACGAUACACUUGAGGACCACAUAAUCGAAAACACCACCUGCUAUUCGUUAGAGGCGGGCCUUGGGGAGAAAGAAGUUUCUGGCUGUCGGGUGGCGCUGGAACCUUUAGCAGAAGAUUUCAACAUGGUAUGAGAAGUGCAAGCAGGACGUCGCCGCUGGGCCAUGCAAUACCCUACAUAGUUCACCAUUUCAAAUGUCAUCCCUUACACACUAUAUCCGCAAUUGCACUUUAAAAGUGAUUUACGAGGCAUACUAAGUCAUAUUUGCGCAUGAUUU